GGUUGGGCGCAAGCUUCAAGGUUUUUCCUUUCUCAGGGGUGUGAGAAA
rnacentral:ncRNA from 1 species